CGGCGGACGGGUGAGUAACGCGUGGGUAACCUACCCUGUACACACGGAUAACAUACCGAAAGGUAUGCUAAUACGGGAUAAUAUAUUUGAGAGGCAUCUCUUGAAUAUCAAAGGUGAGCCAGUACAGGAUGGACCCGCGUCUGAUAGCUAGUUGGUAAGGUAACGGCUUACCAAGGCGACGAUCAGUAGCCGACCUGAGAGGGUGAUCGGCCACAUUGGAACUGAGACACGGUCCAA
rnacentral:rRNA from 1 species